GACGAACGCUGGCGGCGUGCCUAAUACAUGCAAGUCGAACGCAUUUUCUUUCACCGUAGCUUGCUACACCGAAAGAAAAUGAGUGGCGAACGGGUGAGUAACACGUGGGUAACCUGCCCAUCAGCGGGGGAUAACACUUGGAAACAGGUGCUAAUACCGCAUAAUUCCAUUUACCGCAUGGUAGAUGGAUGAAAGGCGCUUUUGCGUCACUGAUGGAUGGACCCGCGGUGCAUUAGCUAGUUGGUGGGGUAACGGCCUACCAAGGCUGCGAUGCAUAGCCGACCUGAGAGGGUGAUCGGCCGCACUGGGACUGAGACACGGCCCAGACUCCUACGGGAGGCAGCAGUAGGGAAUCUUCGGCAAUGGACACAAGUCUGACCGAGCAACGCCGCGUGAGUGAAGAAGGUUUUCGGAUCGUAAAACUCUGUUGUUAGAGAAGAACAAGGAUGAGAGUGGAAAGUUCAUCCCUUGACGGUAUCUAACCAGAAAGCCACGGCUAACUACGUG
rnacentral:rRNA from 1 species